ACCCGGCUGACGAGUCUCAAAUAGGACGAAACGCGCGUUCUGAAU
rnacentral:hammerhead_ribozyme from 1 species